rnacentral:rRNA from 1 species
AUGAACGCUAGCUACAGGCUUAACACAUGCAAGUCGAGGGGCAGCAUUUUAGUUUGCUUGCAAACUGAAGAUGGCGACCGGCGCACGGGUGAGUAACACGUAUCCAACCUGCCGAUAACUCCGGAAUAGCCUUUCGAAAGAAAGAUUAAUACCGGAUAGUAUACGAAUAUCGCAUGAUAUUUUUAUUAAAGAAUUUCGGUUAUCGAUGGGGAUGCGUUCCAUUAGUUUGUUGGCGGGGUAACGGCCCACCAAGACUACGAUGGAUAGGGGUUCUGAGAGGAAGGUCCCCCACAUUGGAACUGAGACACGGUCCAAACUCCUACGGGAGGCAGCAGUGAGGAAUAUUGGUCAAUGGGCGAGAGCCUGAACCAGCCAAGUAGCGUGAAGGAUGAAGGCUCUAUGGGUCGUAAACUUCUUUUAUAUGGGAAUAAAGUUUUCCACGUGUGGAAUUUUGUAUGUACCAUAUGAAUAAGGAUCGGCUAACUCCGUGCCAGCAGCCGCGGUAAUACGGAGGAUCCGAGCGUUAUCCGGAUUUAUUGGGUUUAAAGGGAGCGUAGGUGGAUUGUUAAGUCAGUUGUGAAAGUUUGCGGCUCAACCGUAAAAUUGCAGUUGAAACUGGGAGUCUUGAGUACAGUAGAGGUGGGCGGAAUUCGUGGUGUAGCGGUGAAAUGCUUAGAUAUCACGAAGAACUCCGAUUGCGAAGGCAGCUCACUAGACUGUCACUGACACUGAUGCUCGAAAGUGUGGGUAUCAAACAGGAUUAGAUACCCUGGUAGUCCACACAGUAAACGAUGAAUACUCGCUGUUUGCGAUAUACAGUAAGCGGCCAAGCGAAAGCAUUAAGUAUUCCACCUGGGGAGUACGCCGGCAACGGUGAAACUCAAAGGAAUUGACGGGGGCCCGCACAAGCGGAGGAACAUGUGGUUUAAUUCGAUGAUACGCGAGGAACCUUACCCGGGCUUAAAUUGCAACAGAAUAUAUUGGAAACAGUAUAGCCGUAAGGCUGUUGUGAAGGUGCUGCAUGGUUGUCGUCAGCUCGUGCCGUGAGGUGUCGGCUUAAGUGCCAUAACGAGCGCAACCCUUAUCUUUAGUUACUAACAGGUCAUGCUGAGGACUCUAGAGAGACUGCCGUCGUAAGAUGUGAGGAAGGUGGGGAUGACGUCAAAUCAGCACGGCCCUUACGUCCGGGGCUACACACGUGUUACAAUGGGGGGUACAGAAGGCGGCUACCUGGUGACAGGAUGCUAAUCCCAAAAACCUCUCUCAGUUCGGAUCGAAGUCUGCAACCCGACUUCGUGAAGCUGGAUUCGCUAGUAAUCGCGCAUCAGCCAUGGCGCGGUGAAUACGUUCCCGGGCCUUGUACACACCGCCCGUCAAGCCAUGGGAGCCGGGGGUACCUGAAGUGCGUAACCGCGAGGAUCGCCCUAGGGUAAAACUGGUGACUGGGGCU